AAACGAGCUUCUUGUCCAUAGG
rnacentral:miRNA from 1 species